GUCUACAGCCAUGCUACCCUGAACAAGCCUGAUCCCAACCGAUCUCAGAAGCUAAGCAUGGUCGGGCCUGGUUAGUACUUGGAUGGGAGACCACCUAGGAAGACCAGAAGCUGUAGGCA
rfam:Pteropus alecto contig162782, whole genome shotgun sequence.